rnacentral:rRNA from 1 species
AUGAUUCGUGGGACGUCCUGCCGGUGGUGGCGAGUCGAAGGCGUGCACCCGUUGUGGUUUCCACUUCGGUUCUUGCGCGCCGGAGGCGGACCCCGAUGAAAUCCUACCGCGGUGCUCUUCGCCGAGUGUCGAGGUGGGCCGGCACGUUUACUUUGAACAAAUUAGAGUGCUUAAAGCAGGCCUGUUGCGCCUGAAUACUGUGUGCAUGGAAUAAUGGAAUAGGACCUCGGUUCUAUUUUGUUGGUUUUCGGAACCCGAGGUAAUGAUUAAUAGGGACAGGCGGGGGCAUUCGUAUUGCGACGUUAGAGGUGAAAUUCUUGGAUCGUCGCAAGACGGACCGAAGCGAAAGCAUUUGCCAAGUAUGUUUUCAUUAAUCAAGAACGAAAGUUAGAGGUUCGAAGGCGAUCAGAUACCGCCCUAGUUCUAACCAUAAACGAUGCCAGCUAGCGAUCCGCCGAAGUUCCUCCGAUGACUCGGCGGGCAGCUCCCGGGAAACCAAAGCUUUUGGGUUCCGGGGGAAGUAUGGUUGCAAGCUGAAACUUAAGGAAUUGACGGAAGG